rnacentral:rRNA from 1 species
GAUGAACGCUAGCUACAGGCUUAACACAUGCAAGUCGAGGGGAAACGAUAGAGAAGGCUUGCUUUUUCUAGGCGUCGACCGGCGCACGGGUGAGUAACGCGUAUCCAACCUGCCCAUCACUUGGGGAUAACCUUGCGAAAGUAAGACUAAUACCCAAUGAUAUCUCUAGAAGACAUCUGAAAGAGAUUAAAGAUUUAUCGGUGAUGGAUGGGGAUGCGUCUGAUUAGCUUGUUGGCGGGGUAACGGCCCACCAAGGCGACGAUCAGUAGGGGUUCUGAGAGGAAGGUCCCCACAUUGGAACUGAGACACGGUCCAAACUCCUACGGGAGGCAGCAGUGAGGAAUAUUGGUCAAUGGACGAGAGUCUGAACCAGCCAAGUAGCGUGCAGGAUGACGGCCCUAUGGGUUGUAAACUGCUUUAUAAGGAAUAAAGUGAGUCUCGUGAGGCUUUUGCAUGUACCUUAUGAAUAAGGACC